UACGUAGGGUGCGAGCGUUAAUCGGAAUUACUGGGCGUAAAGCGUGCGCAGGCGGUUCGUUGUGUCGGCGGUGAAAGCCCCGGGCUUAACCUGGGAAUGGCCGUUGAAACUGGCGAACUGGAGUGUGGCAGAGGGGGGUGGAAUUCCGCGUGUAGCAGUGAAAUGCGUAGAGAUGCGGAGGAACAUCGAUGGCGAAGGCAGCCCCCUGGGUUAACACUGACGCUCAGGCACGAAAGCGUGGGGAGCAAACAGG
rnacentral:rRNA from 1 species